rnacentral:rRNA from 1 species
GACGUAGGAGGCGAGCGUUAUCCGGAUUCACUGGGCGUAAAGCGCAUGUAGGCGGUUGCCCAAGUCCGUUGUUAAAGCCCCUGGCUCAACUGGGGGAGGUCAAUGGAGACUGUGCGACUUGAGGGCAAUAGAGGCACGUGGAACUCCCGGUGUAGCGGUGGAAUGCGUAGAGAUCGGGAAGAACACCAGUGGCGAAGGCGACGUGCUGGGUUGCACCUGACGCUGAGAUGCGAAAGUGUGGGGAGCAAACGGG